GGGCGGGUAGCUCAGAUGGAUAGAGCGUUAGCCUCCGGAGCUAAAGGUCGUGGGUUCGAAUCCCGCUCCGCUCACCA
rnacentral:tRNA from 1 species